GUGCGUAGGCGGCCNUUUUAAGUCAGCGGUGAAAGUCUGUGGCUCNANCCAUAGAAUUGCCGUUGAAACUGGGAGGCUUGAGUAUGUUUGAGGCAGGCGGNNGCGUGGUGUAGCGGUGAAAUGCUUAGAUAUCACGCAGAACCCCGAUUGCAAAGGCAGCCUGCCAAGCCAUGACUGACGCUGAUGCACGAAAGCGUGGGGAUCAAACAGGAUUAGAUACCNUGGUAGUCCACGCAGUAAACGAUGAUCACUAGCUGUUUGCGAUACACAGUAAGCGGCACAGCGAAAGCGUUAAGUGAUCCACCUGGGGAGUACGCCGGCAACGGUGAAACUCAAAGGAAUUGACGGGGGCCCGCACAAGCGGAGGAACAUGUGGUUUAAUUCGAUGAUACGCGAGGAACCUUACCCGGGUUUGAACGCAUUCGGACCGAGGUAGAAACACCUUUUCUAGCAAUAGCCGUUUGCGAGGUGCUGCAUGGUUGUCGUCAGCUCGUGCCGUGAGGUGUCGGCUUAAGUGCCAUAACGAGCGCAACCCUUGCCACUAGUUACUAACAGGCGAUGCUGAGGACUCUGGUGGGACUGCCAGCGUAAGCUGCGAGGAAGGCGGGGAUGACGUCAAAUCAGCACGGCCCUUACAUCCGGGGCGACACACGUGUUACAAUGGCGUGGACAAAGGGAUGCCACCUGGCGACAGGGAGCGAAUCCCCAAACCACGUCUCAGUUCGGAUCGGAGUCUGCAACCCGACUCCGUGAAGCUGGAUUCGCUAGUAAUCGCGCAUCAGCCAUGGCGCGGUGAAUACGUUCCCGGGCCUUGUACACACCGCCCGUCAAGCCAUGGGAGCCGGGGGUACCUGAAGUCCGUAACCGCGAGGAUCGGCCUAGGGUAAAACUGGUGACUGGGGCUAAGUCGUAACAAGGUAGAAUCACUAGUGAAUUCGCGGCCGCCUGCAGGUCGACCAUAUGGGAGAGCUCCNNAC
rnacentral:rRNA from 1 species